UAGAAGUUACUUCGGUACAUCGGUGACAGGUGGUGGCAUGGUUGUCGUCAGCUCGUGUCGUGAGAUGUUGGGUUAAGUCCCGCAACGAGCGCAACCCCUAUUGUUAGUUGCCAUCAUUCAGUUGGGCACUCUAGCGAGACUGCCGGUAAUAAACCGGAGGAAGGUGGGGAUGACGUCAAAUCAUCAUGCCCCUUAUGACCUGGGCUACACACGCGCUACAAUGGCCGGUACAAAGAGUUGCGAAACUGUGAAGUUAAGCUAAUCUUAUAAAGCCGGUCUCAGUUCGGAUUGUAGUCUGCAACUCGACUACAUGAAGUCGGAAUCGCUAGUAAUCGCGAAUCAGAAUGUCGCGGUGAAUACGUUCUCGAGUCUU
rnacentral:rRNA from 1 species